ACAAAACGUAUGGCUGCAAAUAGUUGCAUUAUACCCCACCAUUUCAGUCUGUGGACCGUGAACGCGAGUGAGCUAUCUAUGCUGCCAUGUCAAUAUAUCUUCUAUUUGCCCUGUGUUUGUUUUCAAACGUCCUCGCGCAGUGGAGCCCCAGGACUUUCCAAUCUAGCGGCUUUAAAUGCUGGCCCUUCGUUCUCUGCCCUCUACAGAACAUGGUGUUUGUGCAUGGCUGUAAGGGCCUUACAGUUUGCUGUGACCUAAGACCGACCAUUUCCUGCUCCUUGGAUGUAGGAUUUUGUCACAAAAGCUGCAAACAUACAAAUAUGCGCGCCACUUGCCCUGGACAACAGAAAUGCUGCCUCAACUUCCCCAAGUUGUGGCAAUCGUAACGCACAUCUUCGGUGCAGAAACCGAUUAAGGCAUUACCUUUAACAUUUCGUUCACUAAAAGCCUGAAAUCCUAUAGUUGCGCAAAAACGAGAAUAAAGUUUUAACAUAUACAUGAACACGUCAUAACGUUGUGGCAUUUCACGUUGCUGUUGGUAUACAGCAGUCUCUUCGUAUAAUUCACGUUCCAAAGUCCAACAACUUAUCGUAUUAAUUAUUUAUUGGUUAACUUUGUGAUCUAGGCAAAUA